CUCCCAAACCCCUGUGAAUAUACCUUAUGUUGCCUCGGCGGAUCAGCCCGCGCCCCGUAAAAAGGGACGGCCCGCCGCAGGAACCCUAAACUCUGUUUUUAGUGGAACUUCUGAGUAUAAAAAACAAAUAAAUCAAAACUUUCAACAACGGAUCUCUUGGUUCUGGCAUCGAUGAAGAACGCAGCAAAAUGCGAUAAGUAAUGUGAAUUGCAGAAUUCAGUGAAUCAUCGAAUCUUUGAACGCACAUUGCGCCCGCCAGUAUUCUGGCGGGCAUGCCUGUUCGAGCGUCAUUUCAACCCUCAAGCCCAGCUUGGUGUUGGGAGCUGCAGUCCUGCUGCACUCCCCAAAUACAUUGGCGGUCACGUCGAGCUUCCAUAGCGUAGUAAUUUACACAUCGUUACUGGUAAUCGUCGCGGCCACGCCGUUAAACCCCAACUUCUGAAUGUUGACCUCGGAUCAGGUAGGAAUACCCGCUGAACUUAAGCAUAUCAAUAAGCGGAGGAAAAGAAACCAACAGGGAUUGCCCUAGUAACGGCGAGUGAAGCGGCAACAGCUCAAAUUUGAAAUCUGGCUUUCGGGCCCGAGUUGUAAUUUGUAGAGGAUGAUUUUGAUGCGGUGCCUUCCGAGUUCCCUGGAACGGGACGCCAUAGAGGGUGAGAGCCCCGUCUGGUUGGAUGCCAAAUCUCUGUAAAUCUCCUUCGACGAGUCGAGUAGUUUGGGAAUGCUGCUCUAAAUGGGAGGUAUAUGUCUUCUAAAGCUAAAUACCGGCCAGAGACCGAUAGCGCACAAGUAGAGUGAUCGAAAGAUGAAAAGCACUUUGAAAAGAGAGUUAAAAAGUACGUGAAAUUGUUGAAAGGGAAGCGUUUAUGACCAGACUUGGGCUUGGUUAAUCAUCUGGGGUUCUCUCCAGUGCACUUUUCCAGUCCAGGCCAGCAUCAGUUUUCGCCGGGGGAUAAAGGCUUCGGGAAUGUGGCUCCCCUCGGGGAGUGUUAUAGCCCGUUGUGUAAUACCCUGGUGGGGACUGAGG
rnacentral:rRNA from 1 species